AAUUGAAUAAGUUAAAAAAAUUGUCUACCUAAAAUCACAGUCUUCUUUCCUGUCUCUGCGUGCUAAAUAUAACGGGGAGCCCCUAUACUAUUGAAAAGAAUUCAAUAAGUUGUUAAGGAUAAGGAUGAGUUCAUAUAAAUCUAGAGCUAGAGAUUGAAAAAAGUGGAAAGUGAAACAAAAAAAUUCAGAAAAAAGAAAAACAAUCAGAAAUGGGUGGAGGGCGGCGCUGGCUGCCUUUCCCAAUGUCCUGCUGUUAAAUUGAUGAAUGCGUUGCCAUCGCCAACUCAAAACUUACAGAAUCAGGAACAACAACGCCCAUACCAACAACAACUGGAACAACUCGCACAAAUUUUAUAAAUGCAGAUGGAGGCGCAAGCAAUGAAAUCCUACUGUGGACAGGACGCGUCGCUUAUUUUGCUGCAUGUGCAAAAGUAACUUCUAUGUUUACCUGUUUAAUGGCUAACGGCAAAAAUGUCGAUCAAAUUAAAAUGCAUUCAAUAUUUUCCGCAAAAUAAUUGCUAACUUUUUAUGGGGACAACAAAUUUUGCCUCAUUUGACAUGCGCAAAAUUUUCUGUAAUGCCGCAUGGAUUGAAACUCAAAUUUCACAGUGCGGGUAUCCUAAAAAAUCUAACGCAAUGCGGCAGCAAAUUUCGCAGCAGUUGUUGAAAUAUUUACAUUAUGGUCAAAUCAUUUUUGAUUAAUUAAGUUGGCAUGAAGCUGGAAACAAAAUAAUUUUAGACAUGGUCGGCUCAAGGCGGUAUUUGGCCCAGUGUUUUAUUUUGACUGCAAGUACUAUGUUCAAAUUGCCAACGAUAGUUAAUUGU